rnacentral:tRNA from 1 species
CGGGGUGUAGCUUAGCCUGGUAGAGCGCCUGCUUUGGGAGCAGGAGGUCGGGAGUUCGAAUCUCCCCGCCCCGACCA